rnacentral:rRNA from 1 species
AUGCGGGCAGCAUGUUUGGUGGUGUUAGCCCAGAAAAGGCAGAGGGCGGCAUGCGCCAGCGACGGGAGGCAUCUCCCACUGGGUCUGCGCAGUGAACUGACAGGGUCAACCCAGAGGCGCCCGGAUGGACAAAGAGUGCUCAGGGGACUCGAUGAAGUGGACUGGGAUUACAUCAGCAUGAUGAUGAACUCUGAUUUGAUGGACUACAGAAUUGAUUGGCUGAAGAAAGUAAAGGUGUUGGAUGCGGUAACUGAAGAUGUACCGAAUGGUAUGCUUCAUUGUGAUAGAUUUCUAACUUUUUUGUUGAAUUCAAUUUCAGUUCAUGUUCCCAGUGCUCUUCAUGGAUGUAGGACCCAGAUAAGCUCCGUGCCUAGUUGUCGUUAG